GAUGAACGCUGGCGGCGUGCUUAACACAUGCAAGUCGAACGGAAAGGCCCUGCUUUUGUCUGGUGCCCGAGUGGCGAACGGGUGAGUAACACGUGAGUAACCUGCCCCUGACUGUGGGAUAACCGCAGGAAACUGGGGCUAAUACCGGAUACGAGCUCCUGAUGCAUGGUGGGCGUUGGAAAGGUUCGGCGGUUGGAGAUGGGCUCGCGGCUUAUCAGCUUGUUGGUGGGGUAGUGGCUUACCAAGGCUUCGACGGGUAGCCGGCCUGAGAGGGUGACCGGCGACAUUGGGACUGAGAGACGGCCCAGACUCCUACGGGAGGCAGCAGUGGGGAAUAUUGCACAAUGGGCGGAAGCCUGAUGCAGCAACGCCGCGUGCGGGAUGACGGCCUUCGGGUUGUAAACCGCUUUCGCCUGUGACGAAGCGUGAGUGACGGUAAUGGGUAAAGAAGCACCGGCUAACUACGUG
rnacentral:rRNA from 1 species